GGGCACCUCCGCUUGACAAAUACGAGAAAACCGAGACUCAGCAAGGUAUGCAAAUGUUCCAGAAAUUCUGUGAAAUUCCUGGAAUCUGGUUUUUUUAAAUGCCUG